CAACUAGAGUCGGUGUUUCUUUGAAAAAGGCUGAUUUAGUUAAUGAAAAUACAAAUCCUCAAUUUGCACGCAAAAUGCUACGGAUAUUAGUUUCAUCUUCUACCAAUACCUUUUUGAGGAUUCAAUUUUAGGCCAUUGCUAGUUGCUAUUUGGGAUGUUCUACGCCUACCCUAUGGAGCAUUAGUUUUUUUUGUUCAUAUCAGAAUAUUACAAGGGAAAUUUGGAGUGCCCCUUGAAGAAAAUAUUGAAAUUUAUGAAUGCCCAAAUCUGAUAUCACUUCUUGAAGAAAUGAGUUGCUUCUCCCAUUUACAAACUUGACAAUCAUUGACUGUCCUCGCUUGAAAGAAAGAUACCAGGAGAGAAUGGCAAGGAUUGGAUUGCUCAUGUCCCACAUGUUCACAUAUUUUUGAAUUAUUGAUUAAAUUCUUGUUUAGCAACCAAUAUGCUUCUGCUUCUUUGGAUAUUUUCAAAGAACUAUACAAACACCUGAAAGGGUGCAGAGGAAUCAUGGGAGGAUUGCCUAAAAUUGCUCACAUGGAUGAACCCAAUUCCUCACGAUUUCUGAUAUGAGUAAUCCCAAUUCUUUGUUUUCUUUGGAUCUUUCUACUGAAAGACAUUGGCAUUUAUAUAUAAGGAAUUAAACCCAGCAGGAAAGGGGGCAUGCCACUGGUACCAUUGCUCUCAUAUGCAAAAGCAAUUGAAUUAUAGAAAAAGUCCCAUUGUUGUACUUUUUCUUGUUUAAAACUUUUGGGCUCUGCAAUUGUGUGAAUAGUCAACAACUAGGUGGGUUGGUACCUUCUAUUUCCUUUAUUUUCUUCUCUCAUAAAAUUUGACCUGAAAGUGUUGUACAUAAACCUAUCUUUUGCUUCUUCAUCCAAAUAAUUUCUAUUGUAUCUCAUAAAUAAGUUGUUAAAGGUGAUAUACUUGGCUUAUUGAUGAAAAAUGCUGAUAUU